rnacentral:rRNA from 1 species
UACGUAGGGCGCGAGCGUUGUCCGGAUUUAUUGGGCGUAAAGAGCUCGUAGGCGGCUUGUCGCGUCGUCCGUGAAAACCUGCAGCUCAACUGCAGGCUUGCGGUCGAUACGGGCAGGCUAGAGUUCGGUAGGGGAGACUGGAAUUCCUGGUGUAGCGGUGAAAUGCGCAGAUAUCAGGAGGAACACCGGUGGCGAAGGCGGGUCUCUGGAACGCAACUGACGCUGAGACGCGAAAGCGUGGGGAGCAAACAGG